UGGCUCAGUGGUAGAGCACAUGCUUAGCAUGCACAAAGUUCUGGGUUCAAUCCCCAG
rnacentral:tRNA from 1 species